GAUGAACGCUAGCUACAGGCUUAACACAUGCAAGUCGAGGGGCAUCGGGAAGAAAGCUUGCUUUCUUUGCUGGCGACCGGCGCACGGGUGAGUAACACGUAUCCAACCUGCCCUUUACUCGGGGAUAGCCUUUCGAAAGAAAGAUUAAUACCCGAUAGCAUAAUGAUUCCGCAUGGUUUCAUUAUUAAAGGAUUCCGGUAAAGGAUGGGGAUGCGUUCCAUUAGGUUGUUGGUGAGGUAACGGCUCACCAAGCCUUCGAUGGAUAGGGGUUCUGAGAGGAAGGUCCCCCACAUUGGAACUGAGACACGGUCCAAACUCCUACGGGAGGCAGCAGUGAGGAAUAUUGGUCAAUGGGCGUUAGCCUGAACCAGCCAAGUAGCGUGAAGGAUGAAGGCUCUAUGGGUCGUAAACUUCUUUUAUAUAAGAAUAAAGUGCAGUAUGUAUACUGUUUUGUAUGUAUUAUAUGAAUAAGGAUCGGCUAACUCCGUGCCAGCAGCCGCGGUAAUACGGAGGAUCCGAGCGUUAUCCGGAUUUAUUGGGUUUAAAGGGAGCGUAGGUGGACUGGUAAGUCAGUUGUGAAAGUUUGCGGCUCAACCGUAAAAUUGCAGUUGAUACUGUCAGUCUUGAGUACAGUAGAGGUGGGCGGAAUUCGUGGUGUAGCGGUGAAAUGCUUAGAUAUCACGAAGAACUCCGAUUGCGAAGGCAGCUCACUGGACUGCAACUGACACUGAUGCUCGAAAGUGUGGGUAUCAAACCAGG
rnacentral:rRNA from 1 species